UAACCUGCCCAUAAGACUGGGAUAACUCCGGGAAACCGGGGCUAAUACCGGAUAAUAUUUUGAACUGCAUGGUUCGAAAUUGAAAGGCGGCUUCGGCUGUCACUUAUGGAUGGACCCGCGUCGCAUUAGCUAGUUGGUGAGGUAACGGCUCACCAAGGCAACGAUGCGUAGCCGACCUGAGAGGGUGAUCGGCCACACUGGGACUGAGACACGGCCCAGACUCCUACGGGAGGCAGCAGUG
rnacentral:rRNA from 1 species